AAAUCAUUUUUAGAAAUUAGAAAUUCAAAGGGAAAUAAUGCAAUUGGUCCCAUAUUUUUUGGACCAAUAAUAAAAGAGAUAUGGAUUUUAGAAAUAAAAUGGAAUUAAAAGAAAUAAAGAAAAUAAAAUCAGAAAUAAGAAAAUAUGGAAAAUCUACACGCUUUGGAUCUAAGCUCAUUAAUUGAGCUGGAUCAUCAAACGGCCAUGGCAUGCCCGCG
rnacentral:lncRNA from 1 species